rnacentral:rRNA from 1 species
GAUGAACGCUAGCGAUAGGCCUAACACAUGCAAGUCGAGGGGCAUCACAUGAAGUAGCAAUACGGAUGGUGGCGACCGGCGCACGGGUGAGUAACACGUAUGCAACCUGCCUUCAACAAGGGGAUAACCCGUUGAAAGACGGACUAAUACCCUAUAACACAGGGGUCCCGCAUGGGAAUAUUUGUUAAAGGACAACCGGUUGAAGAUGGGCAUGCGUUCCAUUAGCUAGUUGGCGGGUAACGGCCCACCAAGGCAACGAUGGAUAGGGGAACUGAGAGGUUUAUCCCCCACACUGGUACUGAGACACGGACCAGACUCCUACGGGAGGCAGCAGUGAGGAAUAUUGGUCAAUGGACGCAAGUCUGAACCAGCCACGUCGCGUGAAGGAAGACGGCCCUACGGGUUGUAAACUCUUUUAACGGGAAUAAAGUGCCCCACGCGUGGGGUUUUGCAUGUACCGUAUGAAUAAGGAUCGGCUAACUCCGUGCCAGCAGCCGCGGUAAGUACUGA